AAAUUUAAUUAAUCCUUUCAACAUACAAGCAAGCAAAUAAACAGAACCAAAUCAACAUGUUAUACACACAAGUACUACACAUGCAUGCUAAGUUCAUCAACUUAUGACCGACCACUAAGACAUUGUCCGGACGGUAUGAACCACGUAGCCCGACGUCCCUAGCACCCGGUAUGGUGUAAUAGCUCCCUUUACUUAUCAGCUUCCACCCGAGGUUAGUCCUCAAACGAUCAUCUAUUCGUAUGACCGCGGACCUCCCGCCAUUCCCACACAUGAGUAACCUUUCUCUACCUGAGAAAGCAUCCUCACGGAAUAUCAGGAUCAGGACGACACAGGGUCUGACCAUGUUCAUACUUUACCAAUCAUCACCAAUUCAUGAGACGUUCCUCCAUUGGAAUUCCCUUACUCAGCCAAAUUCAAUCAAGGUUCAUUAUUACUUUCAGACUGGAAGGAUGUCAAGAAAAUGAUCGGAUUAUCAACGAUAGAAUAAAUGAUGGAAUGAGACAAGGAUACAUGACCGAAUGGUCCAACAAGAACUAAAACCGGAUGCCCUAGAACAUUUAUAAUAGUUGACCGGCUGAUCCGGCAACGAAUAGAACUAUCCACCCAAAGACUUAACACCAAUAAUGACCGGACAUUCAGAUCAAAGGUGAGACUGAAUAACAGAAGAAUGUCAAAUGGUUGGCCGAAUGGUCCGAAAAGGAAUAAAACCGUAACCCAAAGGAUUUAUUAUAAGUGAUAGUCAUCCGGACGCUUUGGCAAAGAAUCUUAUAAAAACAAGUACAAAUCAUGGUCGAAGGUUGGUCUAUGACCGGACACUUCUCAAACCGGACGAACUAAGAAAGGAGAAACUCUUUAAAGAAGUAAAAGGACUUUAGUCAAGUAAACCAGACGUUUCAAUAAAUAGAAGCUCACUAGACCAUUCAGUCACUAAGUGACCGAACGGUUUCAAAAGGAAACAUAUCAGAUUUGCAUGUGUUAUAGUUUAAGUGUCAGCCUAAGGCCGAACACUUGUAAGACCGGACGCUUGGUUUAUGACCAGCGUUCUUAAAUAUCUAUUAAUAAACAAAUAAAGGAACCCAACUAAACUUAGCAACAUACUAGACCGAACAGUCCGAACAGACCGAACGGUAAAGGGGAACCGAAUGGUCCUAAUGACCUUCGAUCUCAGGUUCUCGUUUUCUCUAUGUUUUAUACAUUCCUAUCAGUGCAGAAUUUAAAACUCAUACUUAUCAUACAAUUCAUACAACAACAUACAAUAUUUCAAUCAUAAGAAAUCAAACAACAUACUUUAGAUAUCAAACAUACAUUAAAUCAGGCAUACAUUCAAACCAUACGGAUAAAUGAUAAUUAAACUAUAUAAGCUUCCCUUACCUCUAAAUCCAGCUAGUACGUCUAAGGUUGAUUGGCAGCAACUACCUCUUCUAAGGUUUCCAAAGUCUAGAGUGAAAUACAAAAGUAGGUUCAGAGGGAUGGUUUACAGGUACAUGCAAGCUUUAAUGGUGCAUGCAUGCAGGAAAACUAAUGAGCUUCAAGGGUUCGGACACUUACCAGUUCCGAAUGUGAAUCUGGUUGGAACAAGUUGAAGCCCUUGGUACUGGCAGUAACAAUUCUGAACAGAUGCAAGUGAUCGAAGAAGAAUUGGAGGUUAGAAAUCUAGAGAGAAGGUUGGGAGGUUUAGAGAGAAGGAGGAGAGAUUUGAGUUUCCAGAAAGUUGAAGUUUUGAGGANNN
rnacentral:lncRNA from 1 species